AUUGAACGCUGGCGGCAGGCUUAACACAUGCAAGUCGAGCGGAGAGAGGUAGCUUGCUACCGAUCUUAGCGGCGGACGGGUGAGUAAUGCUUAGGAAUCUGCCUAUUAGUGGGGGACAACAUUUCGAAAGGAAUGCUAAUACCGCAUACGUCCUACGGGAGAAAGCAGGGGAUCUUCGGACCUUGCGCUAAUAGAUGAGCCUAAGUCGGAUUAGCUAGUUGGUGGGGUAAAGGCCUACCAAGGCGACGAUCUGUAGCGGGUCUGAGAGGAUGAUCCGCCACACUGGGACGGAGACACGGCCCAGACUCCUACGGGAGGCAGCAGUGGGGAAUAUUGGACAAUGGGCGCAAGCCCGAUCCAGCCAUGCCGCGUGUGUGAAGAAGGCCUUAUGGUUGUAAAGCACUUUAAGCGAGGAGGAGGCUACUGAAGUUAAUACCUUCAGAUAGUGGACGUUACUCGCAGAAUAAGCACCGGCUAACUCUGUGCCAGCAGCCGCAGUAAUAC
rnacentral:rRNA from 1 species